rnacentral:rRNA from 1 species
UACAGAGGGGGCAAGCGUUGUUCGGAAUUACUGGGCGUAAAGGGCUCGUAGGCGGCCAACUAAGUCAGACGUGAAAUCCCUCAGCUUAACUGGGGAACUGCGUCUGAUACUGGAUGGCUUGGAUUCGGGAGAGGAAUGCGGAAUUCCAGGUGUAGCGGUGAAAUGCGUAGAUAUCUGGAGGAACACCGGUGGCGAAGGCGGCAUUCUGGACCGACAUUGACGCUGAGGAGCGAAAGCCAGGGGAGCAAACGGG